CGGCGGCCAGUCUAGGUAUUCGGUUUUAGAAUAGGGGAAGAGAGGGCUUCCUAGGAUGAGGUAGCUUCUAGGUUUGCGAGAGUGGGGACGGAGUGGUAGCGGGCGGAGGGACGGCGGGACGGCACGGGGUGGCAGCGGGCGGCGGGCGGAGGGGCGGAGUAACGGCACAGGGGACAGCAGGGCAGAACGGACGGAGGACCGGUGGACGGGACAAGGGACGGCGUAGGUGAGGGACGACGCAGGGGGCGGGGUGGCGGUGGGACGGAGGGGAGGCCGGGCGGUACACGGGUACAGGGGGUGGCUGGGUGCGGCGUGACGGGGAUGGCACGGGGGAGAAGAAGGGGAAGAGAUCAAGGUCGCGAGGUCGCCUUGUUACCGUACUGCCCGAACCACUGGUACCGGUGCGGCCGGCCCUACUGCAGCGGCGCGGCAGGUACAACUGGAACAGCGCGGACGACCAGCCUUCUGAUAGUCUAAAUGGGCCGCAACAUGGGGGACAAGAGGUUGUCCGAUCUUCCCGAUCUACUAGUCAGGUCGUUACCCACAGUCCGUACCAAACUAUGUAUACGUCUGCUCUGUAGACUUUUUGACUCUAGUCCAAUCGUGUUUAGUAAACAUGGUAGUCUGUGAAUUCAAUAUGAUAUUGCUGAUGAAAAAACCAAACAAACGUGUUUCCUUUGGUAAUCAACAAGCGUGAAAUAAAUAGUAACUCAAUAGAAUAAAUAGAUGUUCUUGUACAAGAAUACCCACAGUAUCAGACUACCAGCUACAUAUGAUAGUACAUUACGUUCCCCGCUUCGGUCGUUAGACCGCACCAAACCGCAGGCGGUAUGCAUUUUAAACGACGUUUCAGAUACAUAUAUAUGGCGAUUUUAGAAUAUGUGGUGCGUAUGCUUUUAAACUCGAUUCUGCACGGAGGUACGCCCCGGACUAACUACUACCCAGCACCGAACUACAUCACCUGAACAUCCAACAUUGAACUAACGUGCAGUCGUGUAAUCAUUUUGAUCGCUAAUGAGGCCGGUUUGGGAGCACUAAUCCUCCUAACGAGGAGAUUUGUGCUGUCACGCACUUCCGCCACCCCGUACCGGACUGCCUACGACCUGUGUACCCCUGGCACCGUGACGAAGACGCUCCGCUCAAACGCUGAUCGUUCCGGCGCUCCCAGUCAUACGAUAUGCGUCUACCACCGUUUCUUUUCGUUCACGCAUGAUAUUACUUUCCAUUAACAACACCAGCUCACUUUAUACGAGACGAUAAGUUAGACAAGAUCACGUGAAGGUAACAACUUACUGGUUAACUAAGCCAAGACGAACAUUAAAACAAUAUGUAUAAAUUCAUCGUCAAAACGGUUCGUUCAGAGUGACUUCGGUCAGAUUGAAACCUACAUCAACGACCUGUUGCUGUUCUCCUUACAGUAACGGUAUAAGACAAUUCUUUCAUUUCGAAGUAAUACCCAAAUACUGAUGCAUAAGAAAUAGCUAGAAGUGAUACUAAAAUAGGAUGAUCAAUGGUUAAUUACUAAAUAGAUAUCAAAUAUACAAAAUAUCUAGUAGAAAUACGGAUAGACCAAUUAUAUGUACUAUUUAAUACCUAGCCAGUAGGUAGACCACUGCAUACAACUCACGCUUGUGAAUUUAAAACCUAAAACCAAUAUAAGAGUCUUGUGUUUCAUUAUAUACAGAUGAUAUCACUCGAGAACGUAUUAAUGUACUAUAUACUAAACGAGGUAGUAUUUGGGGUGGUACGCAAGACGGAAGCGGUGACUUAUACGUACGAGAAUGUGUUUCUGCUAAGAACUCCACUACGAUACAUUCAAACUCGAAUAGUUGUAUGAACGGUCGGAAACUUUGAUUGAUCAACCACAUAGGGAUAGGUAAACGUCUGAAAUCGUCGAUUUGUUCCUCACAGAUAGUUGUUUUAAGGUGGUGGAGGUCAAGGUGGUUCACGAACAAGCCGACGAGAACAUCUAAAACCUUUGUUCGUGUCUUGACGUUUGAAACACACGAGCCGUUGUACAUCUUGUAGUUCAGACAAACUUCUGGUUGAAAACCCACUUACGCAACUAUUGUAUAACGAUGUUCAAAAUCAUCAUCAUCAUCUAUGAACAGAACUGGUAAUUACGAACAUACACGACUAAAUCCAUAAGACGAUCGACAUCGUUAAAAAAACUUAAAACCAAGAUUUGGCUGGAACAUAGAGCAAAGUUUGACUGGAACCCAGACUACAUACACACAGUAAACUUGUACUUAGACUACACAUGUAACUUAAUGCUGACAUUAAAUAUUUAAACUUAAUACUAAGUCUUAAAU
rnacentral:rRNA from 1 species